rnacentral:rRNA from 1 species
AUUGAACGCUGGCGGCAGGCCUAACACAUGCAAGUCGAACGAGUGGCGGACGGGUGAGUAAUGUCUGGGAAACUGCCCGAUGGAGGGGGAUAACUACUGGAAACGGUAGCUAAUACCGCAUACCAUCGGAUGUGCCCAGAUGGGAUUAGCUUGUAGGUGAGGUAACGGCUCACCUAGGCGACGCUCCCUAGCUGGUCUGAGAGGAUGACCAGCCAAACCGGAACUGAGACAAGGGCCAGACUCCUACGGGAGGCAGCAGGGGGGAAUAUUGCACAAUGGGCGCAAGCCUGAGACAGCCAUGCCGGGUGUAAGAAGAAGGCCUUCGGGUUGUAAAGUACUUUCAGCGGGGAGGCGGUACCCGCAGAAGAAGCAACGGCUAACUCCGUGCCAGCAGCCGCGGUAAUAC